rnacentral:rRNA from 2 species
GUGAAAUUGAACUCGCUGUGAAGAUGCAGUGUACCCGCGGCAAGACGGAAAGACCCCGUGAACCUUUACUAUAGCUUGACACUGAACAUUGAGCCUUGAUGUGUAGGAUAGGUGGGAGGCUUUGAAGCGUGGACGCCAGUCUGCGUGGAGCCGGCCUUGAAAUACCACCCUUUAAUGUUUGAUGUUCUAACGUGGACCCGUGAUCCGGGUUGCGGACAGUGUCUGGUGGGUAGUUUGACUGGGGCGGUCUCCUCCUAAAGAGUAACGGAGGAGCACGAAGGUUGGCUAAUCCUGGUCGGACAUCAGGAGGUUAGUGCAAUGGCAUAAGC